rnacentral:tRNA from 1 species
GUCGCCGUAGCUCAGUCGGUCAGAGCACUUCUCUGAUAAGGAAGAGGCCGGUGGUUCGAGCCCACCCGGCGACAC